GAUCGGAUCCUAAUUAGACCCGACGCGGAUUCAGAAUACUCGAGAUAUUUGACUCCAGGUGCUACUGGAUUCGGACUCUAAUCGAACCCUUCAAGCAAAUGGACCGCGUUCACCGGUCUAUUACGUGGUCCCCGGGCCUGAGUUAGGCCCGGAACAUCGGAUCAUGCCGGACCCAUAACUGACCCGCUUUUGUAUCUUUCUAUCACUAUGUACGCCACGAGAUUAACGCUACCAUAAUUAAAAACGGACGUCCCUUUUACAUGGGAGCCCCUCGUGG
rnacentral:lncRNA from 1 species